rnacentral:rRNA from 1 species
UACGAAGGGGGCUAGCGUUGCUCGGAAUCACUGGGCGUAAAGGGCGCGUAGGCGGCGUUUUAAGUCGGGGGUGAAAGCCUGGGGCUCAACCACAGAAUGGCCUUCGAUACUGGGGCGCUUGAGUAUGGUAGAGGUUGGUGGAACUGCGAGUGUAGAGGUGAAAUUCGUAGAUAUUCGCAAGAACACCGGUGGCGAAGGCGACGAACUGGACCAUUACUGACGCUGAGGCGCGAAAGCGUGGGGAGCAAACAGG